UAUUACAAAGAACCACUCGCCACUUACCCCACUGGCCUGUGGCCAUGAUAUCUACACUUCUUCCAACAUUCCCUUUACUGCAUGCACUCCUAGCGAAACCAAGAUUUUUGGGAAAGAGAACAUGGUUUAUGUGAAGAAUUAGAGUCAAUCUUGGGCGUAAGUUGUGCAUUUCAUUGCAUUUCACCAAUCUCUCUAAACAUUGCCGCUCCUUGAACUCCUAUUUUGCGCUUCUCGAUGAAGUCUCGCGAGAGGAUGAUACAGGACGGUGUCAAGUUAUUUCGUGCCAUACCAAGAAAAUGCGGUUUCUUUAUUCUUGAAAAUAAUUUGUGAUUAAUGUGAAUUUACUUUUUUUUUUUUUUUACAAAAAGAAAAUAUAUUUUAGCGAACAUUUUCUGACAAAUUAAUAUUCAAAGCUGAGUUGACAGUAAAAUAUAUUUUAUACACCGGGUACUAAUUGAUCGAAGAUCACUUUUUUGUACCACCUCUCGGAAGUUCGCGCGAGAGACAGACACGGUGUAGGGGUAUUUUGUACACCUUUAACAAAUAUCCCGACAUUUUCCCGAGAAUCUUGUUAAAAAAACACGUAAGUUAUUAUCGGUGACAAACGACCCGCAUAUUAGAAAAAUAAAAUAUAAAUAUCCUUGAUCAACCAAUUCUACUAACAGAAAGUGUUACAGAAGAAAAUAUUUUUGAAGAACCACGAUGAUACAUUUAGGCCAAGAACAAUUUGCAUGGAAACCGUCCAAACAAAAUAUGGCGGAUCCUGAAGUUGUCACAUUGUGCUGUAAACAACGACUUUUCUUCGCAUCUACAAGCCUGUCACGAUGUCUUAUCUCUGGCAGUUAUGGGUGAAUAUACAGCGAAAUCAUACAGAUUUGGAUGAAGAUAUUAAAGAUAAUAAGUAAAGUCAAAGACAGUUUGAUGAACCAAAUGACACUGAUAAAGAAGAAGAUACAAAAAAGAUACUUCUAGCCAGGCAUGUGACUUUGAAGCUGAUAGUUUGGUAACCACCUGAGAGAUAUAUAACCUGUAUGCAAGUGAUGACGGUAUUAUAAAGGAGAGCCAUUUCUUAUAACGUGCUCUGAGGAAAUAUGUUUUAUUUUGUCGAAAUGAAAUGUGAAGUGAAAAAUUAAAUUGACAGAUGAAGAAAAUUUACCACUCCAUCCUUCUGCAUGUAUGGUCUUCUGAAUUCAAAGCCAUUUGAAAACCAACUUUAAGUUAAGAGGAACACUUUAUUUUCAGUGAAACAUUCUGGAAAAUAUUACUUCUACAUAGAAAGAAAAAGUUGUAUUAAUACUUGAUGUUGUAUCGCAAGAUGGCCAAGUUUGUAUGACCAGUGCUUUCGAAAAAAAAAAAACUAUGCUUGCACUCAGUUUCCCAUGAACGAAGCAAUCUAAAUAUUAAGUGUAGAAUUUAAUUCUAAUGGAUAAAAAUCAACUCGGAAAUGUGUGAUUUGGAAAUGGUGAAAUAUUGUUUGUCUGUAAACAAUUUUUUCUUUAAAACAUAAAACAUGUAUAACUCCUCCCUGACAGCAUCAAUAUUUCAGAAAGUAUUUAAUUAAAAAAAUAGUUCUAGGGUCAGUGUCUUUCUAUGUAUCAAGUAUAAUAUGUAAUGAUUGAAAAUUAUUCAUUUUAUGAUUUUCUUGAUAUUAUACAUUAAAACUUUAAAAGUAAAAAAAAA